rnacentral:rRNA from 1 species
AUUGAACGCUGGCGGCAUGCCUUACACAUGCAAGUCGAACGGCAGCACGGGAGCAAUCCUGGUGGCGAGUGGCGAACGGGUGAGUAAUAUAUCGGAACGUGCCCAGUCGUGGGGAUAACGUAGCGAAAGCUACGCUAAUACCGCAUACGAUCUAUGGAUGAAAGCGGGGGAUCGCAAGACCUCGCGCGAUUGGAGCGGCCGAUAUCAGAUUAGGUAGUUGGUGAGGUAAAGGCUCACCAAGCCGACGAUCUGUAGCUGGUCUGAGAGGACGACCAGCCGCACUGGGACUGAGACACGGCCCAGACUCCUACGGGAGGCAGCAGUGGGGAAUUUUGGACAAUGGGCGCAAGCCUGAUCCAGCAAUGCCGCGUGCAGGAUGAAGGCCUUCGGUU